AUACGCAAACAAUCUCUCAAUAGAAGGACUCACUUGUAUGGCGAACCUUACAAUGAACGGAAGCAGGCUGGUCAUGCUUAUGAUAGUUAUCCUCGCAUGUACCACGAUUCGUUCGCAGUGUAGGUGUACGGAAACAAUCAUGUGGAAUAUGGUCGAACAGUUGAGCAGAUGAACAGCAACAAGCUCCAAAUGUGCACAUGCUCACGGAGAAAAUCAGUUUACUGCUGUGACUUAGCAGGUGGUUGCUUUCCAACCGCAAAACAAUGUGUAAAAAGUUGUGCUCCUGGAUGCAAGUCAUCUCGUACCUUGAUAGAGCCAUGAGCAAGCACUACAUAUGCUUUAUGAUGAGAAAUUAUGUCAUGCCCAUCUUGAAAUAAAAUUACUAGAUGUGAUCCUUUUA